rnacentral:rRNA from 1 species
ACGGUGUGCACGCAAGUGUACGCGGUAGCGGAGCGUUCUGUUCGCCUGCGAAGGGAGACUCGUGAGAGCUCCUGGAGGCUUCAGAAGUGCGAAUGCUGGCACGAGUAACGACAAACAGUGUGAGAGACACUGUCGCCGAAAGUCCAAGGGUUCCUGCGUAAAGCUAAUCUGCGCAGGGUUAGCCGGUCCCUAACGCGAGGCCGAAAGGCGUAGUGGAUGGGAACCACGUUAAUAUUCGUGGGCCAGUGGGUGGUGACGAAUUCCGUAAGUUGUCCGAGGUUAUUGGAUUCCGAGGGCAGCGAAGGGGUUCCAGGAAAUAGCCCCCACAUAGACCGUACCCGAGACCGACACAGGUGGACUGGUAGAGCAUACCAAGGCGCUUGAGCGAACUAUGCUGAAGGAACUCGGCAAUCUGCCUCCGUAACUUCGGGAUAAGGAGGACCUGUCAGUGGGCAACCAUUGAGAGGUGGCACAGACCAGGGGGUGGCGACUGUUUAGCAAAAACACAGGGCUCUGCGAAAUCGCAAGAUGACGUAUAGGGUCCGACGCCUGCCCGGUGCCGGAAGGUUAAGAGGAGGGGUGCAAGCCUUGAAUCGAAGCCCCGGUAAACGGCGGCCGUAACAAUAACGGUCCUAAGGUAGCGAAACUCCUUGUCGGGUAAGUUCCGACCUGCACGAAUGGCGUAACGACUUCCCCGCUGUCUCCAGCAUAGGCUCAGUGAAACUGAAUUCCCCGUGAAGAUGCGGGGUUCCUGCGGUCAGACGGAAAGACCCCGUGCACCUUUACUGUAGCUUUGCACUGGUAUUCGUGACUGCUUGUGUAGAAUAGCUGGUAGGCUUUGAAGCCGCGGCGCUAGCCGUGGUGGAGCCGAAAUGUGAAAUACCAGCCUAGUGGUUAUGGAUAUCUAACCGCGUCCCUUCAUCAGGGACCGGGACAGUGCAUGGUGGGCAGUUUGACUGGGGCGGUCGCCUCCCAAAGAGUAACGGAGGCGUUCGAUGGUAGGCUCAGAGCGGUCGGAAAUCGCUCGUUGAGUGCAAUGGCAUAAGCCUGCCUGACUGCGAGGCCAACAAGCCGAGCAGAGACGAAAGUCGGACAUAGUGAUCCGGUGGUCCCGCGUGGAAGGGCCAUCGCUCAACGGAUAAAAGGUACGCCGGGGAUAACAGGCUGAUGAUGCCCAAGAGUCCAUAUCGACGGCAUCGUUUGGCACCUCGAUGUCGGCUCAUCACAUCCUGGGGCUGGAGCAGGUCCCAAGGGUUCGGCUGUUCGCCGAUUAAAGUGGUACAUGAGCUGGGUUCAGAACGUCGUGAGACAGUUCGGUCCCUAUCUGCCGUGGGUGUCGGAGAAUUGAGAGGAUUUGUCCCUAGUACGAGAGGACAGGGAUGAACGCACCUCUGGUGGACCUGUUGUGGCGCCAGCCGCAGUGCAGGGUAGCUACGUGCGGACGGGAUAAUCGCUGAAGGCAUCUAAGCGAGAAACCCACCUCGAAACGAGUUCUCCCUUAAGAGCCGUAGUAGACCACUACGUUGAUAGGCCGGAUGUGUAAGCGCAGUAAUGCGUUGAGCUGACCGGUACUAAUCGCUCG